AGAUUGAAGGGAAGUGGGAAAAGCGGGUGCAAGGGCUGGAAACGGAGCUAGAGGAAUCAGCAUUCCAGCGGGCAGCGCUAGAAAGUCGUCUUAAAGAUUUGGAGCAAGUGACCA
rnacentral:snRNA from 1 species